rnacentral:rRNA from 1 species
UACGUAGGGUGCGAGCGUUGUCCGGAAUUAUUGGGCGUAAAGAGCUCGUAGGCGGUCUGUCGCGUCUGCCGUGAAAGUCCGGGGCUCAACUCCGGAUCUGCGGUGGGUACGGGCAGACUAGAGUGAUGUAGGGGAGACUGGAAUUCCUGGUGUAGCGGUGAAAUGCGCAGAUAUCAGGAGGAACACCGAUGGCGAAGGCAGGGUCUCUGGGCAUUAACUGACGCUGAGGAGCGAAAGCAUGGGGAGCGAACAGGG